UACGGAGGGAGCUAGCGUUGUUCGGAAUUACUGGGCGUAAAGGGCUCGUAGGCGGCCAACUAAGUCAGACGUGAAAUCCCUCGGCUUAACCGGGGAACUGCGUCUGAUACUGGAUGGCUUGAAUCCGGGAGAGGGAUGCAGAAUUCCAGGUGUAGCGGUGAAAUGCGUAGAGAUGCGGAGGAAUACCAGUGGCGAAGGCGGCCUUCUGGGGCUCAACUGACGCUGAAGCGCGAAAGCAUGGGGAGCGAACGGG
rnacentral:rRNA from 1 species